UGAAGGAGAGAGUUUAUCUGCUUCUU
rnacentral:piRNA from 1 species